UUUCAUUGUCAAUCUGGCACAGAAAGUUUGACGAACACGCCUAUGUAAACCACUGCGAAGACUUGAGGCGACUACUCGAGUACUGCAAACCGGACAACAUUAUUUGCUCGUGGAUAAAAACUCGUAUCAACGUUACAUCGCGUGGAAUAUCUGGACGGAAUCUCGGAUCGUUCGAAAGCCUAACACGCUUGGACGCGACUCCGUGUGGAAUAAGUCCACUUCCCUCCCUAAACUCAUGGCAUUCUAAGAAAAACAUUCCUCAACCACAAAAUCGGGUAUAACUCAUCCCCAACUUCGAAAACCAUUGCAAAUCAACUCCCUGGACGAUUUUGGAGGCGGUUUUGUCCUACGUGACGCUUACGUGGCAGGCUGACUUGGUCCAAAUGUGCUGAUGUGGCAGCCAGGUCAUCAAAGGAAUUGAAAAUAUAAGUGGGUCCCAUAUGUAAGUGACAAAUGUUAAAACAAAACAAAUGGUGGGGCCCACUUGUCAGUCCAUUUUUUCUUAUCUUCUUCCUUCCUUCUAUCUUUUUCUUGCAGCCGCACGUGCGGAGGCGGAUUCGGCCGGGCAGCGGCGCCCUUCUCAUCCCGGAGAGCUUCUCCCUUGCGCCCGGCCGGCCGCAGCCUCCCGGCGAGCUCCUCCCCCGCACCCGGCCGCUCACGACCUCCCGGCGCCUGGCGAGUUCCUCCCCUGUGCGCGGUCGGCUGCGACCUCCCGGCGAGUUCCUCCCCCACCGCCACCGCCCACGGGGAGAGGAUCUUGCCGGCCUGCUACCAUCGCCGCGUUUCCCCCUCCAAUCCGCCACCAUCGUCGCCGGCCGAUGCCCCCUCCUCCCCCGCUGACGCCGCCCACGGGGAGAGGAUCUUGCCGAGGCCACGCGUAGGGAGAGGAGAUCGUCGUCCUGCCGCCACCGCCGCGUUUCCCCCUCCAAUCCGCCACCCCCGUCGCCGGCCGAUGCCCCCUCCCUCACCGCCGCUGCCCACGGGGAGAGGAUGUCGCCGGGAGGCCGCAUGCUAGGGUGAGAUCUCGCCGGCCUGUCGCACAUGGGGGAAGGAGCUCGCCGGGAAGCCACGCGCUAGGGUGAGAGCUCGCAAGGCGGUCGCGUGUUGGGGAGGGAGCUCGCCGGGCCGGCCUACCGCUGUUGCUGCUUCCACACCGCCGCCGCUACCGUUUCCACCGCCUCUUCUCCUUGACCAUCGCCGCCGCUACCGUCUCCUCCCGCCGCCCCGCCGCUCGCCGAGCUCCCGCCGUCCUGCCGUCCCGCCUCUCCCGCGGUCCCACCACCCCAUCGCUCCCGCCGUUCUGGUGCCACCGGGCUCACGGAGCUCUCUCCAUCUCACUCGCGGUGAGGAUAAAGAGAGGGAAGAAAGUGCCACGUAAGCGCCACGUUGAUGCCACAUAGGUUGAAGACCAAGUCAACCCGCCACAUAAGCACCACGUAGGACAAAACCGCCUCUAAAACUUGAUUUGCAACGGUUUUCAGAGUUGGGGAUGGGUUAUACCCGGUUUUACGGUUGAGGAAUGCUAUUCAUACACGGCCAUGAGUUGAGGGAGAGAUAGUGGACUUAUUUCACUCCAUGUCCGUCGAGACACCCGGGUUGGGUUGGGCCCGCGGAAACUCGGCGUCUGCGAAAUGGGCCUGACGUGAUGCGGGCCAUAUGGCCCUUGUGAAGCCGGCAACAAAGUGGGCCAACUCCGGAGGAAAAAAGAAAAAACAAAAAACGAGCCCCGUUUCUACCGCGGACAGUGGCCAACUCCGGUGGAAUUUCUUGACGUCUCCCUCGAAGCGCUCUAACAAUGGCGGACACCUGCCACCACCAGGAGUCCAGGACGCUCCAUUCGUGCGCCGACCAAGCUCGCCUCUCCUCACAUCGUGUGUCGUCCUUCUCACCGACUCCACGCAUUCUCACGUGUGCGGAUUGAUCGGAGCAUAUGCUGUUGAGAAGUUCAGAUAUAGUAUAUCAGAGAACAUCAGAACAGGCAGUACUCUAAUUGCUUGCUUGCUUUAUUGGUUCUGCAAAAUUGCUGUAUGUAUCCCUGUAAAUAUGUUUACAUUGUUCUCUCUACUUUAUUAAUACAUAGUACGGGGUAAAAACUUUUGCCCUCUUUUCAAAAGAAAAAAAGAUUUAUGUAUGUAUUGCAGUCUUGGAUUACUAAAGUAAGUUGAAUCCCGAACAGAAAAUGCA